GUCCACGCCGUAAACGAUGUCGACUAGCCGUUGGGGUCCUUGAGACUUUAGUGGCGCAGCUAACGCAUUAAGUCGACCGCCUGGGGAGUACGGCCGCAAGGUUAAAACUCAAAUGAAUUGACGGGGGCCCGCACAAGCGGUGGAGCAUGUGGUUUAAUUCGAAGCAACGCGAAGAACCUUACCUGGCCUUGACAUGCUGAGAACUUUCUAGAGAUAGAUUGGUGCCUUCGGGAACUCAGACACAGGUGCUGCAUGGCUGUCGU
rnacentral:rRNA from 1 species